GGGUUGUGAGGUUAAGCGACUAAGCGUACACGGUGGAUGCCCUGGCAGUCAGAGGCGAUGAAGGACGUGCUAAUCUGCGAUAAGCGUCGGUGAGGUGAUAUGAACCGUUAUAACCGGCGAUUUCCGAAUGGGGAAACCCAGUGUGUUUCGACACACUAUCAUUAACUGAAUCCAUAGGUUAAUGAGGCGAACCGGGGGAACUGAAACAUCUAAGUACCCCGAGGAAAAGAAAUCAACCGAGAUUCCCCCAGUAGCGGCGAGCGAACGGGGAGGAGCCCAGAGCCUGAAUCAGUGUGUGUGUUAGUGGAAGCGUCUGGAAAGGCGCGCGAUACAGGGUGACAGCCCCGUACACAAAAAUGCACAUAUUGUGAGCUCGAUGAGUAGGGCGGGACACGUGGUAUCCUGUCUGAAUAUGGGGGGACCAUCCUCCAAGGCUAAAUACUCCUGACUGACCGAUAGUGAACCAGUACCGUGAGGGAAAGGCGAAAAGAACCCCGGCGAGGGGG
rnacentral:rRNA from 1 species